UACGUAGGGUGCAAGCGUUGUCCGGAAUUAUUGGGCGUAAAGAGCUCGUAGGUGGCCUGUCGCGUCGGCUGUGAAAACUCGGGGCUCAACUCCGAGCUUGCAGUCGAUACGGGCAGGCUAGAGUUCGGCAGGGGAGACUGGAAUUCCUGGUGUAGCGGUGAAAUGCGCAGAUAUCAGGAGGAACACCGGUGGCGAAGGCGGGUCGCUGGGCCGAUACUGACACUGAGGAGCGAAAGCGUGGGGAGCGAACAGG
rnacentral:rRNA from 1 species